rnacentral:misc_RNA from 1 species
CGCACAUUGCGCCCGCCAGCAUUCUGGCGGGCAUGCCUGUCCGAGCGUCAUUUCAACCCUCAGAUCCCCCUUUAGGGGGGGAGCUGGUGUUGGGGAUCGGCCCGCCUCCGCGCGGCGCCGUCCCCCAAAUACAGUGGCGGUCUCGCUGCAGCCUCCCCUGCGUAGUAGCAACACUCGCAUGCGGAGCGCGGCGCGGCCACGCCGUAAAACCCCCGACUUUCUGAACGUUGACCUCGGAUCAGGUAGGAAUACCCGCUGAACUUAA